UUUUUAAAGAAAGUUGCGGAGAACACUUAUUCCUAUACAAAAUAAAAGAUAGUAUUUUGACAAGAGUCACCGCCUUCUUGGAUAUUCUGACAUUUGAACACCCCCCAAAAAUAGUUUAGAAAAGAGGUACAGAGAAAACUUAAUCCUAUACAAAAUAAGAGAUUCUUUGACAAGAGUCAUCACCUCCUUGGGUAUUCCCUAGAGUUCAGGUAACAGGAGAUCAGAAUUGUUUUAUGCUUUUUUUCUGAUGCAAUUCAUGAAGAAGUUGAUUGGAUUUAAUCCACCAGAAUAUUCACAUGUAGCUCCCCUGAGAAUGAACUCCGACAUGUGGAGGAUAGGAUAGUCAAGUGAAAAUAUUUUGACGGUAGUCAGCAUGAAAGAACAGAGGCGGAUAGAGCUUUUUAACAAUGGGGUCAAUUGAACGUAAUAUUUUCGACGUAGCAUAUAUAUAUAUAUAUGUGUGUGUGUGUGUGUGUGUGUGUGUGAAAAAUCACUAAAAUUUCAACAAAUAUAAAAUUUUGAACUUAUAAUUUCAAAAGUACAAUGAGUUCGGUACUAAGAAUAUUUCUCCAUUCCCUUAUCAUCUGGAUUAAUCGGACUAUCUCAGCAUAUGGGAAUCCGCUAGGGAAUGGAUUUAACUCAUAGAAGGCGAACUCUAGUUUUAUAUGCUGACAAUAACUAACCAAAGAAAUCAGGAUUAAUCCCACUUUUUGUCCCUUUCCUUUCUUAGGGAGUAAAUGGUUGAAUCCAUUAAGUUUAAUCCUGGAUCCGCCUCUCCGUCUCUGAAAGAACAUGUUCAUGUUACCUGCAAAAUAGUUUUUCUUAAAAAGGAUUUUUCCUCCUAUGAAUAGAAUCUAUCAAUAGCUUUUCUUAGUUGCUACUGGUCUGGCUUCUUUCCUUCUGCCAUAUUCUUCAAUCAGUGAAAAAUAGAGUUUUGGUCUUACCGUCCAGUCCUAGCACUAUGAUCAUUCUGGAUGUCCAAUUGAAAAGAGAAAGUAUGACCAUUCCAAUCAAUCAUGUCUCUUUAUGUUGUCAUUAUUAACUCAUGAAUGAAUUUGUUACAGCAGUUGCUCAAGUGUGUGAAAUGUAGGCAGCACCAACUAGUUGGGACUAGAGCUUAGUCGUGCUGGUACAUUUACAUCAGGCUGAUUUUUUCAAGGAGUCUUUUAGAUUGUUUAUUAGAAAGUUGCAUGUCGGUAGAAAAUAAGAAACUUUAGUCGUUAGAGAACCCAACUUUGUUUCAAAACACAACUUAUUUAGGAAUGGGAUGAAGUCCAAAUGGAGUGGCAGGGACAUGGAAUUCAUAUAGCCAACCAAAUAGUUUGCAAUUGAGUCGUUGUUAUUGUCUAAAUGCUGGAAUGAUGAUGCAUCUGGUUUACUGCUUUUGAGCUGCUUCCACUGAAGCAAGCUAAAGUUGGAAAAUUUUGAGUGCAUAAUUUUCUCCUUUAAUAUGUCAUGCUUGAUGGAUUAGUUCUCAAUUGGGUUCUGCUGGACUAGCUCUUAUUGGCUUCUAUCAACUACUUGGGCUAUGACCAGAUCAUUUUUACACGGAAUGGAGGAAUCCUUCUUCCUUUCGACAUUUAUGAUGGCACUUCUAUGGUCAAAUAGACGGGAAUUAGAGGUGUUAUUCUAGUAGAGUUUACCUUGGCGAUAUCUUUGUUAUCAGUUAUUCAGUUCAUCCUAUAUAAAAAAUUUAAAAAGAAGCAGAAGAAAAAGUUAUCAUGUUUGAUGCUCUUUUUUGGGCUUUAUAAUCCGAGAGAAAGAAACAGGAACAUGAGAUCUCUUUAUCAUGAGAAUAUCAUCUCAGUUGUGCCUUUGGUUUAGGAUCUUAUAUAUCUAGAUUUGGUAGCUCGCAUCUCUUAUGUUGUAUUGCAACUUACUUUGCAGAAAAGUUCAACCCCCAUUGUCAAUCAAAGAUCAAGAAGAGAAGGCGAAGAGGAGUGAGUUUGUUCAAGGAUUGCUAUUGUCCACCAUUCUGGAUGAUAAUUUAUGAAAGGUUGACAAGGCUGCCGGCCCCCCACGUUCACCAGCUUACUGAUAAAGCCGUGUGGUUAGUGGUCUGUCCUAGUGCGCAUGGUGGUAUUAUGUAAUCCAACCGUGGAAUAAGAUGUAGUAAUCCAUGUAAUUUAUCUUGUAGAAUUUAGUUGAUAUGCAGCGGAGUCAUGUAUCUCCUUUUUAUUGCAGUUCAUGCUACGAUAAAGAAUAUAAUAAACGUUUGAGUUAGUGCUGUACUGCAAUUUAUAUUUUUGGAAAUCAAUGUAAUAUAUACUUGUAUUCUAGAAACACUGGGAAGAAAGGUGAAGGUAAGCACGAACACGAAUAAAAUUGGAUAUUGAACAUCCUAGUAACUGGACGUAGAGGCAAAUGGAACUUCCUAGUUAUAAUUUGGUGCAGCAAUAGGUUGGUCAUUUUUUUAUUUUAUUAGCCAUUUGAUAUCAUGUAAAUUGUAAUGGCUCUCUCUUUUGGUUGUAACUUCCCC
rnacentral:lncRNA from 1 species